rnacentral:rRNA from 1 species
GACGAACGCUGGCGGCGUGCUUAACACAUGCAAGUCGAACGGAAAGGCCCUGCUUUUGUGGGGUGCUCGAGUGGCGAACGGGUGAGUAACACGUGAGUAACCUGCCCUUGACUUUGGGAUAACUUCAGGAAACUGGGGCUAAUACCGGAUAGGAGCUCCUGCUGCAUGGUGGGGGUUGGAAAGUUUCGGCGGUUUGGGAUGGACUCGCGGCUUAUCAGCUUGUUGGUGGGGUAGUGGCUUACCAAGGCUUUGACGGGUAGCCGGCCUGAGAGGGUGACCGGCCACAUUGGGACUGAGGUACGGCCCAGACUCCUACGGGAGGCAGCAGUGGGGAAUAUUGCACAGUGGGCGGAAGCCUGAUGCAGCAACGCCGCGUGCGGGAUGACGGCCUUCGGGUUGUAAACCGCUUUCGCCUGUGACGAAGCGUGAGUGACGGUAAUGGGUAAAGAAGCACCGGCUAACUACGUG